UACAGAGACCUCAAGCGUUAUCCGGAAUCAUUGGGCGUAAAGCGUACCGAUAGGUUGUUUAUUAAGUCUUGGGUAAAAGCCGGAAGCUCAACUUCCGCGUUUGCUUAAGAUACUAAUAGACUAGAGGGGCAAAGAGGUGCUUGGAACGAACGGUGUAGUAGUGAAAUGCGUUGAUAUCGUUCGGAACACCAAAAGCGAAGGCAGAGCACUGGGUGCCACCUGACACUGCUAGGACGAAAGCGUGGGGAGCGAAUGGG
rnacentral:rRNA from 1 species